GACGCACGCUGGCGGCGUGCCUAAUACAUGCAAGUCGAACGCAGUGGGGACGGGUGAGUAACACGUUGGUAACCUCCCAUCAGAGGGGAUAACACUUGGCAACAGGUGCUAAACCGAUACUGAUGGAUGAACCCGCGGUGCAUUAGCUAGUUGGUGAGGUAACGGCUCACCAAGGCCACGUUGCAUAGCCGACCUGGGAGCGUGAUCGCCCAAACUGCGACUGAUACACGGCCAAGACUCCUACGGGAGGCAGCAUUAGGGAAUCUUCGGCAAUGGACGAAAGUCUGACCGAGAAACGCCGCGUGAGUGAAGAAGGUUUUCGGAUCGUAAAACUCUGUUGUUAGAGAAGCGGUAUCUAACCAGAAAGCCACGGCUAACUACGUGCCAGCCGCCGCGGUAAUUC
rnacentral:rRNA from 1 species